GUGUGCGUGCGUGCGUGUCUAGCCUGCUCGUCUCGCUACCCUCCAGUUGCCCCUCCCGCCCUGCUGGCCAGAGCUGGGACUGAAGCUUCCUGCCCUGCUGUUCUCAGACAGGAAGCUGCUGUUCUCAGAAGAUCAGAACCCCCUCCAGAACUUGGUGACAAAGCCUCCUCGAUGCCCGGAGCCCAGCCGCAAGAGCAAGGCUGCCAGGAAGGCUGCAGGAGCUGAGAAGGACACAGGGGGCAACAAAGGGCCUUUGGCAGAGUCCUGGAGGGUUGUGGAGGACGCUGGAGCGGCUUAUCCUUCAGCCCUGGAUGACGAGCUGGCAGGACUAGGCAGGGUGGUGACUGGUGGUGCAUGUGCGAAGAUGCUUCCCGUCCCCCAGACCAGCUACUGUGUUCUUCCAGCAAUCAAAAGUUCCUCUCACCCAGUGGAACCAAUCAGAGCAUCGGCCUCUGAAACACCCGGGCCCCUGGGCUGCAGAGCCACACCAGAUGGAAGGGAGAGUGCGUACUCCUCUCCACCUGCGUCUCCACC